rnacentral:rRNA from 1 species
UGACCUCGGAUCAGUAGGU